CACCGAAACAGAAACAGACGGACUUUAACUGGCCGCCUAAACGAUCGCUUAACUACUGUUAAUCUGCGGAUCGGGCUUUUAAACCGGCCCGCGAUAAUCCUGGCCCAAGGUUGAACGCCGUUCGGAGCGUGCUGCCCCACGCCAGGCAGCCGAAAAGAAACACACAGCCGAACGCAGUUUUCUGCCCCUCAAUGAGCCAAAUUAGCAACCGAUCUCUACGCAAAUCUUUGACGUCAGCAUCCGAGCAGUGAGCGCACGCUUUUUGGGUGGCGGGCAAGGGGCUCUUGGCAAGGUGAACGAGACCAAAUAUGGGGAACCAGAAGUGGGUUACGGGAAACCUGCGCUCUCUGCGGGAAUUCAGCGGAAAUGGGUGCUUAAGGGAUGUUAUGUAAUUUUGAAAAGGCGAAUCCCUAAAGAUUGUGAUGCAUUAGUAAAGUUAGAGAAUACCAUGCCAGCUAUCCCCUUCCCCAACCCAACAGGAUGCCAGGCAGUUAGCGUGCUUAGCAGGUGCCCGAGGCAUUCCUAAUGACGAAGCGAAACGGCGACCGAGACCCCUUUCCUGCGGCCUGUUCCUCCUCUGGCUCCACCGGUUCUUGUGAUUCAACAGAUUCUUCAGAUUCGGUAAGCCCAAGGUCCCACUGUUUGCACAACAACACGACGCCGAGCUGGUCGCCACUUGAGACGCUGAUUUAUGCACGAAAUGCUAAUGGAAAUGCAACUUCAAAUGCUAAUUGCGGCGACGGUCAAAGACUCGUCUUCGUCUCCAGUCUUCGGUCUUCUGUCUUCUGUCUUCGGCAUCCCGGCACCAAGAAGAGCCUUGGGGGUACGAGAGACGUAGGCGACGCAGGCCCCGAGAAGACGACAGUUCAUCACAAUUGCGUGUGCAAAUCAACGAGGCGACCAGCGACGGCGCGCAUGCGCAGCGCAGAAGAUUCAGAUUGGCUUGGAGGGCCUAACCCACGCCCAACCUCUGGUGCCCGAUGGCUCUGCCUCUGCC